rnacentral:rRNA from 1 species
GUAGGUGGCAAGCGUUGUCCGGAAUUAUUGGGCGUAAAGCGCGCGCAGGCGGUUCUUUAAGUCUGAUGUGAAAGCCCACGGGCUCAACCGUGGAGGGUCAUUGGAAACUGGAGAACUUGAGUACAGAAGAGGAAAGCGGAAUUCCACGUGUAGCGGUGAAAUGCGUAGAGAUGUGGAGGAACACCAGUGGCGAAGGCGGCUUUCUGGUCUGUAACUGACGCUGAGGCGCGAAAGCGUGGGGAGCAAACAGGAUUAGAUACCCUGGUAGUCCACGCCGUAAACGAUGAGUGCUAAGUGUUAGGGGGUUUCCGCCCCUUAGUGCUGCAGCUAACGCAUUAAGCACUACGCCUGGGGAGUACGGCCGCAAGGCUG